rnacentral:lncRNA from 1 species
AAAAACCCAAAGGAACACACCACCACAGAUCUUUAUGAGGAGAAAGCAAAAGCCAUGAUUUGAAAGGGGGCAAAAGGUAGAUCGAUUUGAUGGAACUUAAACAGAAAUUGUUGCCUCAAAUGCAGGGACAAAAAUCUUUCUCUGUCGAGAAUGGCAUACGAUCGCUUCAUUCACCCUCUCUUAUGAACAUAUCAUGCCAGUGGAUCACCAUACAAUGAAUCAAGCUAUCGAUGUCCUGUUAGCUAAGCGGUCAUUCCCUGUCACAAGAGCUGGAGCUGGCGCUGGCGCCAGCGUCGGUGCUUGUGCUGCUGUCCUCGAUGUGAUGUUCUUCAAUGGCCCGUUCUCUAUGAUGCCCACCAUCAUUCUCCGACUCAUCUUCGGAUCAUAAAUCGCCUCGCCUAUCAGAUAAAAUGUAGGCGAUUUUAGUUUCCAUACUAAGAAGACUCUGACAGAAAAAGAGUUCAGCAUUCCUACUUGUCCUCGAGGAAAUCAUAUGAUCUCACCUGUGGUGUGGUGACUUUGUUUUCCUGAGGCUGACAGGAAGAUGAGAGUCGGGGUGAUGACGGUGAGCAGAGCCCAGAAGAAGAUGACCAAAGCAUAACCUCUAGGAGGCAUAUCUCAAUUGUACUAUAAGAAAUGGGAGCGGUUCCCGGAUCUCUCUUCGGAGAUGGGAAGGAGGGAGAAAGAGAAAGGAAUAACUCGAUGGCAGAGGAGCAGAGAAGGAGAGACAACUGAAAACUGUAGACAGGAGAAACUAAUCUCGUUUUUCUCUAUGAAUUCUAGCAUGGCAGGCCACAA